GUAUUAAAGGUGUUGCCUGCCCAGUGAAACAUUUUUAACGGCCGCGGUAUCCUAACCGUGCAAAGGUAGCGUAAUCACUUGUCUUUUAAAUAGAGACUCGUAUGAAAGGCUAAAUGAGGACAACCCUGUCUCUUAUAGCCAACCAGUUAAACUGAUCUUCAAGUACAAAAGCUUGAAUAAAAACAUAAGACGAGAAGACCCUGUGGAGCUUUAAACUAACACUAUACACAAAUAGCACAAGUUUUAAGUUGGGGCGACUUCGGAAUAAAACAAAACUUCCGAGCACAGAGCCACCCACUCUAACCAAGACCAACAAGUCAAAGAACAUAAUGACCCAGUCAUACUGAACAUCGAACCAAGUUACCCCAGGGAUAACAGCGCCAUCUUCUUCAAGAGUCCAUAUCGACAAGAAGGUUUACGACCUCGAUGUUGGAUCAGGACACCCAAAUGGUGCAGCAG
rnacentral:rRNA from 1 species